rnacentral:rRNA from 1 species
GACGUAGGGCGCGAGCGUUGUCCGGAUUUAUUGGGCGUAAAGAGCUCGUAGGCGGCUUGUCGCGUCGAAUGUGAAAACUCGGGGCUCAACUCCGAGCUUGCAUUCGAUACGGGCAGGCUAGAGUUCGGUAGGGGAGACUGGAAUUCCUGGUGUAGCGGUGAAAUGCGCAGAUAUCAGGAGGAACACCGGUGACGAAGGCGAGUCUCUGGGACGGUACUGACGCUGAGACGCGAAAGCGUGGGGAGCGAACAGG